rnacentral:rRNA from 1 species
UGGGGAAUAUUGGACAAUGGGCGAAAGCCUGAUCCAGCCAUGCCGCGUGAAUGAAGAAGGCCUUAGGGUUGUAAAGUUCUUUCGGUAUUGAGGAAGGUUGAUGUGUUAAUAGCACAUCAAAUUGACGUUAAAUACAGAAGAAGCACCGGCUAACUCCGUGCCAGCAGCCGCGGUAAUACGGAGGGUGCGAGCGUUAAUCGGAAUAACUGGGCGUAAAGGGCACGCAGGCGGUUAUUUAAGUGAGGUGUGAAAGCCCCGGGCUUAACCUGGGAAUUGCAUUUCAGACUGGGUAACUAGAGUACUUUAGGGAGGGGUAGAAUUCCACGUGUAGCGGUGAAAUGCGUAGAGAUGUGGAGGAAUACCGAAGGCGAAGGCAGCCCCUUGGGAAUGUACUGACGCUCAUGUGCGAAAGCGUGGGGAGCAAACAGGAUUAGAUACCCUGGUAGUCCACGCUGUAAACGCUGUCGAUUUGGGGGUUGGGGUUUAACUCUGGCGCCCGUAGCUAACGUGAUAAAUCGACCGCCUGGGGAGUACGGCCGCAAGGUUA